rnacentral:ncRNA from 2 species
AGCGACCCCAGGUCAGGCG